rnacentral:rRNA from 1 species
GAUGAACGCUGGCGGCGUGCCUAAUACAUGCAAGUCGAGCGAACAGAUGAGGAGCUUGCUCCUCUGACGUUAGCGGCGGACGGGUGAGUCACACGUGUAUCACCUACCUAUAAGACUGGGAUAACUUCGGGAAACCGGCGCUAAUAGCGGAGAAUAUCUUGCACCGCAUGGGUCAAUAGUGAAAGACGGUUUUGCUGUAAGUUAUAGAUGGAUCCCGGCCGCAUUAGCUGGUUGGUAAGGUAACGGCUUACCAAGGCAACGAGGCGUAGCCGACCGGAGAGGGUGGUAGGCCACACUGGAACGUGGCCACGGUCCAGACUCCUACGGGAGGCAGCAGUAGGGAAUCUUCCGCAAUGGGCGAAAGCCUUACGGAGCAACGCCGCGUGAGUUAUGAAGGUCUCCGGAUCGUAAUACUCUGUUAUUAGUGAAGAACAAAUUUGUAAGUAACUAUGCCCGUCUUGACGGUACCGGAUCAGAAAGCCACGGCUAACUACGUG